GAUGAACGCUAGCGGCAGGCUUAUCACAUGCAAGUCGAGGGGUAUAACACUUCGGUGUUAGAGACCGGCGCACGGGUGCGUAACGCGUAUGUAAUCUACCUUUUACAGAGGGAUAGCCCAGAGAAAUUUGGAUUAAUACCUCAUGGUAUUAUGGAUAGGCAUCUAUUUAUAAUUAAAGAUUUAUCGGUAAAAGAUGAGCAUGCGUCCCAUUAGCUAGUUGGUAUGGUAACGGCAUACCAAGGCGACGAUGGGUAGGGGUCCUGAGAGGGAGAUCCCCCACACUGGUACUGGGACACGGACCAGACUCCUACGGGAGGCAGCAGUGAGGAAUAUUGGACAAUGGGCGCAAGCUUGAUCCAGCCAUGCCGCGUGCAGGAUGACUGCCCUAUGGGUUGUAAACUGCUUUUGUACAGGAAGAAACCCUUCUACGAGUAGAAGAUUGACGGUACUGUAAGAAUAAGGAUCGGCUAACUCCGUGCCAGCCGCCGCUGUAA
rnacentral:rRNA from 1 species